rnacentral:rRNA from 1 species
GACGAACGCUGGCGGCGUGCCUAACACAUGCAAGUCGAGCGAGGGACUUCGGUCCCUAGCGGCGGACGGGUGAGUAACACGUGGGUAACCUGCCUCAUAGAGGGGGAUAGCCUCCCGAAAGGGAGAUUAAUACCGCAUAACAUUAUGCUAUCGCAUGGUAGUAUAAUCAAAGGAGCAAUCCGCUAUGAGAUGGACCCGCGGCGCAUUAGCUAGUUGGUGAGGUAACAGCUCACCAAGGCGACGAUGCGUAGCCGACCUGAGAGGGUGAUCGGCCACAUUGGAACUGAGACACGGUCCAGACUCCUACGGGAGGCAGCAGUGGGGAAUAUUGCACAAUGGGCGAAAGCCUGAUGCAGCAACGCCGCGUGAGUGAAGAAGGCCUUCGGGUUGUAAAGCUCUGUCUUUUGGGACGAUAAUGACGGUACCAAAGGAGGAAGCCACGGCUAACUACGUGCCAGCAGCCGCGGUAAUACGUAGGUGGCAAGCGUUGUCCGGAUUUACUGGGCGUAAAGGAUGCGUAGGUGGAUAUUUAAGUGGGAUGUGAAAUACCCGGGCUCAACUUGGGUGCUGCAUUCCAAACUGGAUAUCUAGAGUGCAGGAGAGGAAAGUGGAAUUCCUAGUGUAGCAGUGAAAUGCGUAGAUAUUAGGAGGAACGCCAGUGGCGAAGGCGACUUUCUGGACUGUAACUGACACUGAGGCAUGAAAGCGUGGGGAGCAAACAGGAUUAGAUACCCUGGUAGUCCACGCCGUAAACGAUGGGUACUAGGUGUGGGAGUUGUCAUGACUUCCGUGCCGUCGUUAACACAGUAAGUACCCCGCCUGGGGAGUACGAUCGCAAGAUUA